rnacentral:lncRNA from 1 species
GGUAGACAUGGCUGAGCGCGCUCCCCCUCCCGGGGUGCCGGCUCGACCUCGUUCUCAGCCGGCAGCCUCCAAGACUUGUGGACGAUCAUCCCGUCCUCCACCAGCUGCAGCAGAUCCCCCUCCGUCACCGUAGAGGGGAGGAAGUCGCCUUGAAUCCACCCCGCCGGCAACGGCCGCUGUCGCCGCUGAGCAGGAGCCGCCGCCUUCCCCUUCUUCUUCCUCGCCUCCAUCUUGCUGGUUUGACCCUUGGUCAUGGCAGAAGUUGCGAGUUCGCGGAGAGAGAGGAGGAGUGGGGAGGUUAGGUGCGCUGGAGGAGGCGAGGAGGACGAAGCAACGGCAAAAGAUUCGGCGGGCGUAACGAAAAACCCUUACCGCCGGGAUUUAAGUAAGGUUCCGACUGGGUCGCUGGCAGGUGGCCCCGAAACCUUAUCCCCCGACCGGCCGCGGCGAUAUCAGUGGAGGAGUUGAAGGCGCGAGAAUCGAGGCGUCAGACGCUAAUCGAGCGCGCUGGCGUCAUCCCCGCUGAGCGCGCGGAAACCGAAAUUUGAAGAUCCCGGAAAAUCCGCUGCUGUCAGUUGACGGGUCGCGUCAAGAGAUACCCUGAAUACACUCGGUUUCCGACAGUUUGUUCCACGGAGAUUUCCACUCGGAUCGUUGGUCAGAAAAGAUAAAAUGGAUCGAGGCAAGCAACACCCAAGCCAAGUCCGCUCCAGUCGGAUCCAAACUUCAAACAUCGCUUCGUCGUUCCAACCCCAAUCCAUUCGGG